AUUGAACGCUGGCGGCAGGCCUAACACAUGCAAGUCGAGCGGAGCGGCGGACGGGUGAGUAAUGCCUAGGAAUCUGCCUGGUAGUGGGGGAUAACGUCCGGAAACGGGCGCUAAUACCGCAUACUAUCAGAUGAGCCUAGGUCGGAGUCGCUAGUUGGUGGGGUAAAGGCCUACCAAGGCGACGAUCCGUAACUGGUCUGAGAGGAUGAUCAGUCACACUGGAACUGUGACACGGCCCAGAAUCUUACGGGAGGCAGCGGUGGGGAAUAUGGGACAAUGGGCGAAAGCCUGAUCCAGCCAUGCCGCGUGGGGGAGGAAGGUCUUCGGAUUGUAAAGCAUUUUAAGGUGGGCGGCGUGACCAACAGAAUAAGCACCGGCUAACUUCGUGCCAGCAGCCGCGGUAAUAC
rnacentral:rRNA from 1 species